UGUGAUGUGCUGGAAGAAACCCUGCCUACCAUAAACCUCCCUCCCAGUGUGAAGCUAUAACUUAUUAUGGCCUGCCCCAUCUCCUGGCCCCAGUCAGUAUAGACACAGUCAAGACACAAUUCUGGAAUGGAAGCCACAUAAGUGGAGUGAAGCUGGGUGAUUAAGCCCCUUGUGAACUCAUACAUCACCUCCUACUUCAUGUUGAUAGCAGAAGGAGCACCUCUGUGACUGCAGACACAAGCUGUGUUGUGGACAUGCAGUUUAGUCACGUCUUCAACAAGGAAAGUGUUUACUGAAGUUUAAAUUUUGAGUUUCUAAGUGCGCUGUAUGAUGUUUCAUUUGAUGUGUCUGAAAAAUUAAAUAUAUCUUAUUUCAUUUCGAGCAUUUAAAAAAGAAAUUAUGCAUGUGACAAAAAAAAAACAACUUCUACUUUAAUCUUAACUAACCAAUGGUGAAAAUGCGAACCAUUAAAUGUACGGGUUGCUGACUGAUAGUCAGAAUUACAGACCACCAUUCACAGGAUCCCUGCUUUAUAUAGGAAAUCAGACUAUCGAUCUCACGCUCGAAGAGGAAAGAAAGAGACAUGAAAGGCAAUGAAUACAAAUUGUACCUUCAGGACAUACAAACAAGCUCACCCCACUGAAUCAAGGGUUUUCAACCGGAUUAUUCCUGCCACUAUCAACAUCCAGCCUUUUUUGCUUAAUUGGUGCACAAAUGCAGGUGUAUGAUUCUGACAGCAGAAUGAGUCAGGCAGCCUUGAGUGUAGUCAGUAUGUUUCAUGUUGGGACCACGGGUAUAAGACUUUAAAUCACUCUUAGAGGGAAAUAUACAGGGGGGUGCACGCAAUUGGACAUGUCCUCCAAAGACAUGAAGAUUCUGUACUGCUUAUAUUCAAGAUUGGAUCUGGGAACAAGGCAACCUGUCACCACACUGCGUUUCAUCUGGAUAUGUCAUCAAGGAGACCCCCCCCCCCUUCCCUCGCUUGACCACAACUCACCCUAACUCAGUUUUAAGCAGGUAAUCGUAGGUCAAACAGGAUUAAUAUUCAUUACAAAUGCCUUUGAAAUAAAGCAUGACUGGACUCAUCCAGUAGAGCUCCAGUUGGUUCUCCAGCCUGGACCUCUCAAAGAGCAGGAGGGAUGGAGGCCAUUGGCUGAGCACAUGAUACACAUGGAGGCUAUAAGCAUACGGGUUUGGCCUUUGGGAAGGGCCAUGUCACUGCUGUAGGAUUAUGUCAGUAAAAGGCUGAGAGACGAGAAAGAGGCCCAUGCCCAACUCUGUCAGAAUACCCCUGUCAGAACACCAGGCAAUUUCUCCUUGUCUAUUGAAAGUUUGUACUCCUUGUUGGGCAGACUGUAUAGCCGCAUGUGGUAUUUUGGCAUUUGCACAUAUACAUAAUGUGUAUGUGCAACGCUCCAUAAUGUGUCAUAAAGACUUUUUUUCUUGCUCUGUACUCCACAAUUUAGAUGUGUAAUCAAACAAUUCACAAUCCAAACACAUGCAGGCUAAGUUAAUUGGAGAGUCCAAAUUGCCCCUAGGUAUGAGUGUGUGAGUGAAUGGUGUGUGUCCCAUGCAAUGGACUGGCGAACUGUCUAGGGUGUAUUCCUACCUCUUGCCCAAUGCAUGCUGGGAUAGGCUCUGGCACCACCUGUGAUCCUGGCUAAGAAUAAGCAGGUAAAGAUAAUGGAUGGAUGGAUGGCUGCCACAGAUACUGGCUCACUUGUCGGCAGUGAUGGGCUGGCAUUUGGAAAGUACUACAAACAUACUACAAAUUCAGAAAAUACGCUAAACAGAAACCUGGGCAUGAAAUGAAUUGCUCAAAACAGAAUAUCCAAAAGCAGUGUAAGCUCUAUAAAUAUGCAGACAACACAAUCAUAGCAAAGCAGUAAUGUGUCUGUCUGCUAACAAUAUUACCCUGCAGUUAAACUGAAACCAAUACAAUGACCAAAGCCCUCCCUGACUGAUGGAGAGAGUGAGUGCAAAACAGGUACGGAAUACACAGACAGACACUGAAUCUUCCAAAGCACAGCCACAUGUCCUUAUGCAGAAAGGGUCAGCUGGAGAAUUUAAUCACAAAUGUUCAGUUGGUUGGGGUCAGAGUUCACCUUACAGAGGCGUAGAAACAGUAUUGUGUUUCCCUGAGCAUCGGCGUCCAAUCAGAACACCUCUGCGGCUCUCGACCUUGAAACUUAAAAUGCCAUUAUCAGCAACGGAACCCUGUGUGUGUGUGUGUGCGUGAGCGUGCGUAUCGCUACACCAUUAGCUGGUGCCGAAGUUACGCAAGGGAGGGUGCACUCCUGAUUGGAAAGAGGAUUGGCAUCGCUCCUGUGGCAUCUUGUAAUGAGUCUUACCUUCUUCAAAUCCAUUAAAAAACUAAAGACGCAUCAGAGAGCUUCUUCACUUCAAAUUCAGUGACUGUGUGCUUCUUAGCACAAAGACGCCUUUUUGUGAACAACAGUAUUACAGUCACUCUAAGACAGAUGCACACAUGCAUAUUGAAACACAUUCAAUAUUGAGUUCAGAGGAGUAAUUGCUUCUGAUAGAUGAGCUCUCACAUAGGAAUGAUUUUUAGGAGUAAUUUUUUUCUUAUGUAGUUUUAAAAAACAUUGGCCAAAUUCAGAAUCAAACAUGUUCUGAAGGCAGCUCUAUCCCUGAGGCAGAAGAAAUUCUAUUAGUUAACUCUUGCUUAGUGGGUGGGCCUGUCUUUCAAAUACUGUUGUCAUCUCUGCUACCAUCAGCCCUUUGACCACACUUUGUUAAAUUGCCUGGUGAGUGCUUUAUUUUUCAUUUUUUUGUAAUUUAACCAUUUACCUAAAGAUCUUUAUAGUUAUGAAAUAUUUCUGGAAAAUGAAUACCCUUGAAUGACGACUUAGUUCUUUGUGUGUUGAUGUUUUACUGCUUUGGGAGAGUCCCUGAUUGUGA